rnacentral:lncRNA from 1 species
AUGUCUUACAGCUUUUGCCUGAGUUUCUUAGGACAAUCAUUCUUGGAAUGCUUCCAUGUAGAACCUAGCGGUCAUCCUAUGAAAAACCCAAGCCACAUGGGGAGGCCUUGUAUGGGUGUUCCAGUUUACAGUCCCAGCUAAUACUAGCAUCAGCUGCCAACCACGUGAGUCAGCCAUCUUGGACAUCCAUCCCAGAUGAGCCUUUGCAUGAUUCUAGCUCCAGCCAUCAUUGGACUGCAAUCACAUGAAAAACUCUAAAUAAGAACUACCCAGCUGAGCUCAGUCAAGUCAUAAAACCAUUAGAGAUAAUAUAUAUUUUUAAGCCACUAUGUUUUGCGGUUGUUCGUUGUGCAGUAAUAGAAAACUGGAACACUCAUGGAAAUCUUACUAGUUUUAGCAUGUCUGUUUAUUUUUGUGCCAGCACUAAACUGUUCACCACUGUAGUAUUUUAAUACAUUUUAAGAUGUGGGAGAUGGAAGAAACUUUGGGCAGUGGUGGUGUGUAUUGUGAUCAGAGUGGAGAGUGUCACAAAAAUGAAACGGCUUAUCUUCCUACAACCUACCUUCUCGUUUCUUUUUGGAGGCAAAUUUAUAAUGUGGAGGAAUUCAUAAUGCCUUGGACAAAAUGUGCAGCUAUUGUUUUUACUGAGAAGUUUGCAAGUACCUGUUUUAUCCACAUAGAUAUCCAAGUGCUAUGGUUUAAUAUAUCUCCCAAAUUUCACAUGUUGGAAAUUUGAGUCCCAACACAGCAAUGUUGGGGAGGGUGGGACUUUUAAGAGGUGAUUAGGUUAUAAGGGCUCCGUCCUCAUGAAUGGAUUAGUGCUGUUACAGAGGGAGUAGGUUUGUUAUAAAAGGAUGAUUAGUUUAACCUCCUCCUCUGCAGUUUAUUUAGAGAUCGAUUUUAUUUUGUAUGGAGGAAAAGGGAGUGGAUUGGGGC